GUAGGGAAUAUUGGGCAAUGGAUGCAAGUCUGACCCAGCCAUCCCGCGUGCCGGAAGAAGGCCCUCAGGGUUGUAAACGGCUUUUGACGGUGAAGAAUCGACAGGAUGCGUCCUGUUUUGACGGUAGCCGUUGAAUAAGCACCGGCUAACUCCGUGCCAGCAGCCGCGGUAAUACGGAGGGUGCGAGCGUUGUCCGGAUUUAUUGGGUUUAAAGGGUGCGUAGGCUGGAAGGUCAGUCAGCGGUGAAAAGCUGUCGCUUAACGAUAGUCUUGCCGCGGAUACUGCCUGUCGUGGAUGAGGAGGAGGCCACUGGAACGGAUGGUGUAGCGGUGAAAUGCAUAGAUAUCAUCCAGAACACCGAUUGCGAAGGCAGGUGGCUGUACCUUAAUCGACGCUGAUGCACGAAAGCAUGGGGAGCAAACAGGAUUAGAAACCCGUGUAGUCC
rnacentral:rRNA from 1 species